UCUCAUCGUACAGCCGUGAACGCGUGAUAGUAGUCCGAGCGAAUAGUUUAGAGCAGAGUUGCCGUAUCGAAGUAAAUUGAUUGCGAAAAGUGCGUGAUAGACAAUGACUCAUAUUCCUCGUUGAAUAACCUUAUUUUAAUUUUAAAUUUUCGUCUCUCGUAAAUAUUAAUUAGCCGUUUAUUACGUAAAUCAUAAUUCUUUCGCGCGCGCGCGCGCGUGUGUGCUUUCCCUCCAACGAGAACAUCAUCAACGAACAUCAUCGCCAUUAUCGUAGCUGAGUUGUCGCAGCGGCAAGUCGUAUACAAAUCUUACCGGUGAAACCGACUCAUGCACCAACGAAGACCCCUUCCCCUUGAGCAGCUGUCUUCAUUGGUGGAGAGCUAGUGAAUUUCCUCUGGAAGGACAGUAGCCUGGCGACGUGACGAACCGACGAAGCCACUUCCGAUGUUGCUCCCGCUUGGAGGGCCACGUCCAAUACCGCAAGGGUGUCUUUGUCCCUUCGCAGUGCGCACUGUAACUCCGUCAAACGGAUGCUGAACUGCUGGACGGCUUGCAGAGCGCACAAUUGUUGACUGCCCCUGAAAAGUAAAGUGUUAACGCCGACUUACCAGAGUCUUUUUACGCAGCCUGCUCUUCUUCCUACGCAACGAGCUGUUCCGAACCACGCGGCCAUCGUGACAGAUGAUCGACUCCUCCAUCAACGUGGACGUCGAAUUGUUGAAUGAUUUGCGUGAUCCUCUACAACACAGAACAAAGGAAAUCGCAACGUUCCAGUUGAAGUUCCAAAGCCCAAGUUUACGAUAUUUAACGCGAUACAUUCUUCUGAAUUCUGUGCGACUCUAAUUUAAUAAAUCAUUAUUAAUCCUACAAAUUUCAUGUAUUAUAAUUUUACUCUAAUUCUAUACAUUGUACAUUUAAUAAUCUCCU